rnacentral:rRNA from 1 species
UACGUAGGGUGCAAGCGUUGUCCGGAAUUAUUGGGCGUAAAGAGCUCGUAGGCGGUUUGUCGCGUCUGCUGUGAAAACCCGAGGCUCAACCUCGGGCCUGCAGUGGGUACGGGCAGACUAGAGUGCGGUAGGGGAGAUUGGAAUUCCUGGUGUAGCGGUGGAAUGCGCAGAUAUCAGGAGGAACACCGGUGGCGAAGGCGGUUCUCUGGGCAUUACCUGACGCUGAGGAGCGAAAGCAUGGGGAGCGAACAGG